AACGUGGGGAACCUGCCCCAUAGUCUGGGAUACCACUUGGAAACAGGUGCUAAUACCGGAUAAGAAAGCAGAUCGCAUGAUCAGCUUUUAAAAGGCGGCGUAAGCUGUCGCUAUGGGAUGGCCCCGCGGUGCAUUAGUUAGUUGGUAAGGUAAAGGCUUACCAAGGCGAUGAUGCAUAGCCGAGUUGAGAGACUGAUCGGCCACAUUGGGACUGAGACACGGCCCAAACUCCUACGGGAGGCAGCAGC
rnacentral:rRNA from 1 species